CUCAUCGACGUACUUCUGAUAGAAGGCAACGAGGGCUUUGGCAAUGCUUUGGCGGAUUGCGUAAAUCUGGGAGGUGUGACCACCACCUUUCACGCGGAUGCGCAUGUCAACGCCGGCGAAACGGUGGCGACCGAGAAGGAGGAUGGGCUCCACCGCCUUGUAGCGGAGGAUCUCGGGCUCCACCAGCUCGAUUGGGCAGCCGUUGAUCUUGAUGAGGCCUCGGCCGCGCUUACAGUAGGUGACAGCCACGGCGGUCUUCUUCCGCCCAAAGCACUGGACUGAUUCCACAGGAGAUGCCAUUAUCGCAAGCAAGUCCUAACCCUAACCCUAACCC
rnacentral:lncRNA from 1 species